AAAAUAUACCAUUUGUGAUUAAGUAUUUUAUUAUAUUUUAUCUUAAAAAAUGAUAAUUUCUAAUUGAAAUGAUUACUUUUUGCAACAAAUUUGUUAAAGUAUUUAAAAGGAGGAGCUAUAACAGAUAUUAACAGUGUGGUAAAUGAAGAAGUACGAAAGACAGUAGUUUAGCGCAAUGUCAGAGUUUAUUUUUUACAAUGUAUACAUGUUGACGAUUAGCGAGAGACUGCUUUACGGUCGCCUAUGUGCUGCAACGUAGCUUUCCCCCGGGAAUGCCAGAUCCGAGGGGGCUACGCCCAAUUAAACGGAAAUCUCUGUUUAUACGGUAACGAGUAACGCUCUUCUAGCUAGAUACGAUAGUUUAUGAGAACGGUAGCCUCAGUAUCUCUCGAGAAUGCUCUCGAUACGGUAUCAGUAGCUUGCAUACGGUAUCCCCCACUCGCUCGAGAUAGCUCUCGUAGCGAGAACGGUAACUUAUAGACGGUAUCCCCCAAAUAUCGGACGAGAUUGCUCUCGACACGAUAGCGGUAUCUGGUAUACGGUAUCCCCCAAUAUCGAUCGAGAUGGCUCUCGAUACGAUAGCGGUAGCUUGCAAGAACGGUAACUUCCCAAUACUCUAAAUUAUUGGGCGCCAGGCGCGACUUCUCGCGCCACACAAUAAUCAACGAUAAUACGGUAACCAACUAGAAAGCGUUACAAGUGCAGGUAGCUCUUUCUCUCGAGACGGUAGAGUGGCGUGGUUCUUAUUGAGACGGAAGGUGUGGAGAUGUCGGAUCGAGGCAGGUCGUAUAAAGACUCGGUACUCACUUACUAAACAUUUAAAGAAUAUUCUGUAUUUCUAUACUGAUAGUAAAAAACGGUAACAAUGCUGCGAGGAGUUUACUCCAUGCGUCUGUACACAAUUAAUUCCCGGGAAUUAUUCUGAUAGAGACAGAAACGAAUUAUAGACACAAAAAUGUGGAAACGACAGAAUUGAUAAUACGCGGCGGGAGGCCGACGAGGCUCUCCGCUCGAACAAAGAUAAAAUCACUAAUGGCGGAAACAAGUCGCGGUAACAAUGAUUCUAAUCCUAUGACUGUCGGCUCCGGCGUAGUCCGAGAGGGACGUACUCGCGGUAUCAAUUAUUCGGGGCCGGUCGGUCCGAGCCCUCGUGCGGCCACAAAACUCUACUCUUUCUUCAAGUUACCUUACACACUAAUAUCACUAACGAAAUCGAAUUCGGAUGACCGAUGUCCUUAGUGAAAACGGUAUCCGGUAUCCGAUCCCGCACGAGGGUUGACCGCCUUUUCCGAACCUUACUUAAUCGAUGGCUGCCGAGUGGUGACCUUACAAUAGUGAACGGAAUCCUGGUCCCUGAAGUCUUCGGUAACUGUCGCGGUAUCGGGGCUCGUCCUCUGCCAAGUACACGCCGUCACGGCUUGCCGAACAGUGAGGAGCCCCGGUCCUACGCCGGCCGGCUCGAGCUGCCGCGCAUGCGCGUGCUUCGAUUUUCGGUCGAUCCGCACGCCUCGAUCCCAUGCUGCGCCGCAUCGCCUAUCCACUUGCCUCGUGGUCCGUGCGUGACGACUUCCGCCGGGGAGAGUGCUAUAGCUCUGCCAUUUUCGGUUGGCCCGGCUGGCCAUGCCGUGGCCGAACCGAUCUGCGUGGCGGGCAGUUUACAGUUUGACGGUAACUCCCCCGGUCCGCAGCCCGGUGGCGUGCCCUCGGCGUGAUUCCUCUCAAGAAUCUUUCCUGUUGCUAUGCGGUAUCCUUUCUGCCACGGUAUCCUCACGGCGGCGGUAUCCUGGCGGCUCAGGGCGGUAAUAAUCAGCCGGGCUCGGUGCACGGCUCAGCGGGGAAACUCUGCGCGGGGCACCUCUCCUACUGUCGACUGCUCGCGAUACUUUUCCCCCGAUGGCUGCUCCUCCUCCGUUUGUGGUACAAUAAGAUUAAGCCCUCACUCGGCGCCUUAGUCAUAAAUACCCUAAUUAAUCUGACACGGUAACGCGGAAACUAAAAAAGAAAGAAACAAACGUAAAACAAAGUCGCGUCCCCCUGGGCUCGGCGAGGAGGAGCCCCAAAUCGACCCCCUCGGUCGGGCUUACGCCCUUGUGACGAACGCGACCAGACGCGUCACGUCACAGUGCUCCUCUUCAAGCCUCCCACAAAUAUGUAUAUAAUGCUACCCUAAUAUGGUGGCGCUGCUCGUAAUACAGUACAAACAUUAUUAUUAUUAAAUCGAUUAUCAAUUUAACAUCGUGAUAUUACUUUUUUUUCAACAUAAUUGUAUUUCAAGAUUGUUUUACUUGAUACAUAGUUUGAUGGACUUAAAAAGGUAUACAAAAUCACAAAAAAAAUAUCAAAAUAAUUCAACCUAAAUAUUAUAUAAAUUAAUAACAUAAUUAUAAAUAAUUAAAAAUAAACUUUGUAGGGACAAAAUAAAGGUUUGUCCCAAUAAAGUUUAUUUUUAAUUAUUUAUAAUUAUGUUAUUAAUUUAUAUAAUAUUUAGGUAAAACUUCUGUCUAGGAGAAGCAGACAGAUUCCUCCAAUUUUAUCUAAUCUUAAUGUCGAUUAUAUAUUGAUUAAAAAUGACAGAAAAAUGUCACAUUAUGCUCAAGUAUGUGUUUAUAUAUUAAGAUAAUAUGACCUCAAAAAUGUAUAGAAAGUUGUGCGCAUAUGCUACUUACAGUAUGUAUUAUAAUGUCAGAAAAAUAUUUCAUGUGAUAAUACUGUGAUCUGAUAACAAAACUUAACAUACGUUACACAUAUUUAUACAUCAUUUGUGUACAUCUUGAGCUCAUGUUUAAUAAUUAAUGAUCUUUAAAAAGCUAUUAUAAGCUAUUAAAAGCUAUUAUAUUACACUUAUCAUUGCGGAUUUAAUCUUUAAAUACAAUUUGCUUGAAACUUAUUUAAAUAUAUUUGUUUUUGAAAUCACUAAAUUCAAAUAUUACUUUAACAUUGUAUAGUAAAAUUCAUUUCUGAGGAUUUAUUUUGUACUGUCUAUAGAUUGUGUUAUAUAAAUAUAUAUAUUUAUGGAUACUUAUAUAUAAAUUUAUACUUGCGCGGGAGUUAUAGCUUGGAAAAAUUGUACAUAAUUCAAAUAAUUAGAGAAUAUCUCGCUUAACGAAAGACUUUGCACACUUUGUAUUUUUUUCCCCAACGGGAGGAGAAUGUUAUAAUCAGAAGGUUAUGAUUAAUUUUCAUCAUAUAGCAACCGUACACAAUGCUUUACGUUGAAGGUCACACGCGGCCGAAUUGUAUGAGUUUGCAAUUGGGGAUUACUCCCAGUACUGUUACUUUGUAACAAACGGAAGCUAAAAAUUUAGACUUUGUACUAUCUUAGCUUGCACCCGAAUACGUAACGUAAACUUUUCUACAUAAUUAUAUUUAGUCGUGUUGCCAAGUGAUUUCUCUCCCUCUAAAUAACUCGCCAAAUUCGAGUAAUAAGUAUGAAUGGGCAAAAAUUACUUGAUAUUUAAAUAUAGAUGCUCUUUUAUUAAAAAAUCGGUUUUUUACUUGAUGUUUUUAUUUUUGUUUAAUCGGUGCAUCGAUGAUUUUUUUCUUCGAUGUUACUAAAUUUUAUUACUAGAUUUUACUAGCUUUUAGGGCCAGUUCAACCAACUUCAAUUAACUUUAAUCGUUGAUUAAAGGAUUGUCAACAUAACAAAAUACAACUGGAACCAACCAAUCACAGCAAAGCUUUAUCAUUGUAUUUUGUUAUGUUGGCAACUUUUUAAUCAACGAUUAAAGUUAAUCGGAGUUGGUUGAACUGGCCCUUAUAUACAGACUGUGUACACCGCCUAACAAUGAUUUGUUUCAUUUCCCUAGCAUAUAGGAUGUAUUACAUAUUUAAUAUAAACCCGCUAGGGGAAUGGAACUAAUUGUCAGGCAGUGUACUGGUUUGGUUCUCUAUUAUAAGUGUUGAAACAUUCUAUUGACCAAUCGGAGAAAAGAUUCCUAUGUUCUACUUAUGUUCUACCUAUGUUCUACCUAUGUUCUGGUUUUCUUGUUCGGAUUCUGUUAUUAUUUUGUCCUUUCUUUGGCUGCUGAUAAGACUUGAUUGACGGUAGUCAUCCAUACAGCACAGAAAGAUUGCAAAAACGUGGCAUAUAUUCCAAUGUAAUUGAACUUCCGUUUCUGGUCGGCUAGGAAAAGUUCUGUCAUGGCGUUUGUAAGAAGUGUAGUGCGAUUGAGUGAAUUGGACCAGAGAAUGUGUGAGUACAGCAGGUAAAAGAAAAUAGGGAAAAUAGGAAAAAAGAAGAUAGGGAUAUGGUGUAGAAAAGCAUAGAAGAGCGAGUAAAUUUGGAGGUUAGAGAGACGGGGCCAUAGGGGAAGAGAGAGAGACAAGGGAGAAAAUGAGUAAAGGAAAGGUAUAGGCGCAGAUUUAAUAGAGGAUAGAGAGGCAGAAGCACGGGCUUAGGCACGGAGAAAAUAGAGAGAUAGAGGGGCGAUGAGUUGGCAAGUGGGGACACAGGAUUAGGCACAGAGGGAAUAACGAGAUAGAAAGGUGACGAGUAGGGAACCCACAUAGAAAUUGGCAUCCAUUAGACAUCCAGUAAACUUCCAUGGCUUUAUUGGAUGUUUACUUCCAUGAUGGAAGUUAGAUAGACGUCCAUUAGAAAUCCACUAAACUUCCAUAGCUCUAUGGAACAUUUACUUCUAUGGUGACAGUCAGAUAGGUGAUCCAUCUUACCUUUAUAAUAAAUUUCUGUCAAACAUCUUAAAAAAUAUCCAUUAUACAUUACGCGGAUAAUUAAUAGAGGUUUGGCGGAGUCUCGAUGGACGACUGACGGACAUAUCAUAGAAUCGAGGCUUUUCUACUAAUAAUCCACAAAACGUCCGUCAAUCAUCCACCGAGGAUUGUAAAACCUUUACUAUUCACCGUUACGUGGCGUGUGUUUCUUAUGAAUAAAAUUCACUCUUUAGGUGAGCGCAGAAGGAAGUAAAAUUUCGCCAUCGACAUAUAAUACAAGACAAGAUGAAUUAUAUUAGUCUGUAAAAAAGAUUGAUAAAAAUGAGAAGGACAAAAUAAAAACUUUUAUUUAAGAAAAAUG